AAGACUAUAGACCUGCGGAGUACCUGCGGAGGGAUCAUUACCGAGUUUACAACUCCCAAACCCAAUGUGAACGUUACCAAACUGUUGCCUCGGCGGGAUCUCUGCCCCGGGUGCGUCGCAGCCCCGGACCAAGGCGCCCGCCGGAGGACCAACCAAAACUCUUAUUGUAUACCCCCUCGCGGGUUUUUUUAUAAUCUGAGCCUUCUCGGCGCCUCUCGUAGGCGUUUCGAAAAUGAAUCA
rnacentral:misc_RNA from 1 species